UAUAGAUGGAUCCGCGCUGCAUUAGCUAGUUGGUAAGGUAACGGCUUACCAAGGCAACGAUGCAUAGCCGACCUGAGAGGGUGAUCGGCCACACUGGAACUGAGACACGGUCCAGACUCCUACGGGAGGCAGCAGUAGGGAAUCUUCCGCAAUGGGCGAAAGCCUGACGGAGCAACGCCGCGUGAGUGAUGAAGGUCUUCGGAUCGUAAAACUCUGUUAUUAGGGAAGAACAUAUGUGUAAGUAACUGUGCACAUCUUGACGGUACCUAAUCAGAAAGCCACGGCUAACUACGUGCCAGCAGCCGCGGUAAUACGUAGGUGGCAAGCGUUAUCCGGAAUUAUUGGGCGUAAAGCGCGCGUAGGCGGUUUUUUAAGUCUGAUGUGAAAGCCCACGGCUCAACCGUGGAGGGUCAUUGGAAACUGGAAAACUUGAGUGCAGAAGAGGAAAGUGGAAUUCCAUGUGUAGCGGUGAAAUGCGCAGAGAUAUGGAGGAACACCAGUGGCGAAGGCGACUUUCUGGUCUGUAACUGACGCUGAUGUGCGAAAGCGUGGGGAUCAAACAGGAUUAGAUACCCUGGUAGUCCACGCCGUAAACGAUGA
rnacentral:rRNA from 1 species